rnacentral:rRNA from 1 species
GAUGAACGCUGGCGGCGUGCCUAAUACAUGCAAGUCGAGCGAACGGACGAGAAGCUUGCUUCUCUGAUGUUAGCGGCGGACGUUUGAGUAACACGUGGAUAACCUACCUAUAAUACUGGGAUAACUUCGGGAAACCGGAGCUAAUACCGGAUAAUAUUUUGAACCGCAUUGUUCAAUAUUGAAAGACGGUCUUGCUGUCACUUAUAGAUGGAUCCGCGCUGCAUUAGCUAGUUGGUAAGGUAACGGCUUACCAAGGCAACGAUUCAUAGCCGACCUGAGAGGGUGAUCGGCCACACUGGAACUGAGACACGGUCCAGACUACGACGGGAGGCAGCAGUAGGGAAUCUUCCGCAAUGGGCGAAAGCCUGACGGAGCAACGCCGCGUGAGUGAUGAAGGUCUUCGGAUCGUAAAACUCUGUUAUUAGGGAAGAACAAAUGUGUAAGUAACUGUGCACAUCUUGACGGUACCUAAUCAGAAAGCCACGGCUAACUACGUG